rnacentral:tRNA from 1 species
UAUAGCUCAUGUGGUAGAGUACAUGCUUAGCCUGCAUGAGGUCCUGGGUUCAAUCCCCAGUA